CGGCUCCCCAAACCCUAGUGCCACACUCUGCCUCUCUUCCUCUGCCGCCGGUUCACCACCUCUUACAAUUUGUGAGACUACGAUAGCAGGAGAUUCAGUUCUCGGCUCGCUCAUCCCUCGACGACGAGACCGCCAAGCGGCUGCGCCUCCACCGGUCACCAAGCAGCGGCGCCCUCCACGCUAGCCCCCAAGUGGUGGCGCGUAAGGCUAGGGCGGCGAGAUAGCGACAGAUCUGACUCCCUCGCCCUGUGGCCCAUAGCAGCGGCCCUCAGUUCCGAGCGGCGACAAGCAACAACGGUGCCCCUGCCUUCGGAUCUGACUCCGACGACGGUAGAUCGGGCACCUCACCUCUUCUCCACCUUGUUUCGGGGCUACAACAGCAGAUCAGGCUGCGCCGACGCUCGAGGUGGAACGAGACAUUGGUGGAGGCAUCAAGAAAGAAGAAGCUUUCCAAUGAUGUGGGAAAAUGGAUAAGCAAGCUUAUGCCUCCCAGAAUGUGUAAGUCCAUUGACAGAGAUGGAGAAAUAUUCUUAAUAUUGAAAUACAAGAAGCCCCUCAUGAAGAUUCUAGUUCUUCUUCCCUCAAAAAAGACUCUAGUCCUUUAGAGCCUGGAUCAAACAAUAUGAAGCAUUGAAGCCAUAUUUUAUAAAGUGGCCCUGCUGCCAGCCGCCACUCCUCUGCUGUGGACGGUGCCAGCCCCGGGCAACAAGAUAGACAAGCUGAAGAAGUGGUGCCUGCACUGCAGCAUCACAUCGACCCUGCAGUGGAGGACGGGGCCACUGGGCGAAAGCACGCUGUGCAAUGUGUGCGGCGUGUGCUACAGGUAGGGUUACCUAGUGCCAGAAUACUGGUUAAGGGCAAGCCCUACGUUCAACCAGUCAGAGCACUCCUACAACUGCCUGGUGCCGGAAUACCGGUCGAGGGCAAGCCCUACGUUCAACCAGUCAGAACACUCGUACAAGCACCGUGAGGUGCUCAAGAUCCGCAAGAAACAGGAGCAUCUUGCACCACCGGCAGCGUUCAAGCUUAUUAGCACCAGGAAGCACAGCAAGGGCAAGGGGCAGCAGCAGCCUACACAAGUUCGCAAGAAGCGCAAGGGCAACAAGGCGCAGAACCAGCCUGCACAAAACUAGCCUACCAAGGAUCAUCGACAACGAGCUGCUGGCACGGAUGCUGUUCUGCUUCCUUCCAGUACCAGAUGAGGUGCGGCCCGGAUCAACCUCAUGCUGGUACCUAUUGUUGGAUGAUUCACCAACAUGGAAGUUAUUGUUCUUGUUGCCAUCUCCACCAUUCCAAUUCCUGCCACUACCACCGCCACCAUCGUUCAGAUUCCUUACCAAUUGUUGGAUAAUCCACUACAAUGGAAGUUAUUGCUCUAGUUGUAUAUGGUAUGCAUUAAUGGUUUGUGCGGCAUCUGUUGGAAGACUGGGCUCCCCAGACUGGGUCGGAUGUUUGAUUGGCCUAGCCUUCCCAAGCAGCAUUAGGUGUCACAUUGGCUGGUUCUCCUCAUUAGUGAGUGUCAGUGUCGAGGGUAUCGGUAAGGGGUACCCUCAGCGAUGCGCAUUAUGAGAUUGCCCGUACGAAGGUUGGGACCCUCAAUGCGACGCUUUAAUC